rnacentral:rRNA from 1 species
CACCCGGGUAUGAAAGUACCCCCUCCAGCACAUGGCGCUUGUACAGGUGCUGCAUGGCCUGUCGUCAGCCUCCUCCCGUGAGGUGUUGGGUUAAGUCCCCCAACGAGCCGCAACCCCUACCAUUAGUUGCCAUCAGGUUAUGCUGGGCACUCUAAUGGGACUGCCUACGCAAGUAGUGAGGAAGGUGGGGAUGACGUCAAGUCAGCAUGGCCCUUACGUCUAGGGCUACACACGUGCUACAAUGGGUGCUACAACGGGUAGCUAAACCGCAAGGUGGAGCCAAUCCCUAAAAGGCAUCCUCAGUUCGGAUUGGAGUCUGCAACCCGACUCCAUGAAGCUGGAAUUGCUAGUAAUCGCGCAUCAGCACGGCGCGGUGAAUACGUUCCCGGGCCUUGUACACACCG